AUAAUCCACUCAAUUUUGCGAUGAUAAACAAUCACUCAUUUGAGUGAUUAGAUGUGUGCCGAGUAAUCAAUCACGGGCUCAAUCAUGCAAACCAAACACUUGAUUAAGGUGAAUUAUUUUAUUAAUCAUAUCUUAUCAAUCAAACCGAACGCCUCCUACAAAGACAAUGCUUCCUCUCUUAGGAAGGAAGAGCCCGACGGCCCUCCAUGGGCCAGCAACGCCAACUUCACCGGAGCUUCGGCACCUUCGACUUCACUCAAUGGACCAUGAUUGCAGGUAAUAUCUGUUCUAGCAAAACCAGGACACACAGAAUUGAUGCAGAAACGCGGGUAUUUCUUCGCUGCAAGCCAAGUAUACGCGUUGAGAGCUUCCUUCGACACUUUGUAGGCUGCAAAGUGAGGAGGCCAUUGAUUCUCUUCCAGUUUCCCCUCUUUGAAGUUGCUGAGAAAUUGCUGCACAACUUCUUCCACUCUCUCUUCUGUUAGGCUGUCUUUGCUGCUAAACACUCCUUUUGCCCAUUCAUUUGUUUGAAACUGAUCAAGAUAUAUAAUAUUAAUCAAUCAUCAAUCAGAAGCACCAUUUAUAGCAAUCAUUGAGCUCAAAUGAAGUGAGAAGAUUUACCACUAAACUUCCUAAUGUGGAGGAGACAUUGACAAUUGUUGGUGAAUGAGAGAGCUGCAGCAGAGGAAUGAGCGCUUCUGUUACUCUCUUUGCACCAUAGUAGUUUGUCUCUAUGCAUUCUUCUGCGCCCUUUAAUGUCUCCACAAACUUCCCAUUUCCUUUCGGGUGAAAUACUUUUGACUGCAAUGCAUGUCGAUAAUAAAUCUGAAUGAUUAAUCUUUCUAAUCAUGCAUACUACUUCCAUCAUAUUGAAAUUCAAUAACAACUAAUCACUGCAAAAAAAAAUAUUUGUCUCUCGAUAAUUAUCGAGUGGUUCGCGAGAGUUCAUAAUUAUAAAUAUAAUUUUAAAAAAAUAAUUGAACAUAUUUGAGCUGAAUAUUGGAAACAUAAAAAAUAAUGAAUUUAGAAUAAAAAAAAUUAAUAUCAUGAAAAUUCCAAAAGAAAAUGAAAAAAAAAUAGAAAAAUAGAAUUAUUUAAAAAAAGAUGAGAGAAGAGAGAUAUUUUUUUUAAAAUAUCUUUAAAUAAAUGUAACUUUUAUUUUUAAAUCAUAUAUUCAUAUAAAAUGUAUCAAAUUAAAGCUCUAAUCAUGAUCUUUAAUUUGACAUGCAUAUUAAAUAUUUUAUAAUUAGUUGAAUUUCACUAUUUUAGAAAUAAAUAAAUAAAUAGAUAAAGAAGAUAAAGAAAAAGAAAAUACAGUAAAACAAAAAUAUAUAGUUUACAAAUAAACCUUCAAUUUUAUUAUAACUAUAAAUAUAAGGGUUAUUUCCUAUUUAUCGACGGUAAUUUUCAUAGUUAAAAAGUUAAUUUUUUUGAAGUGUAAUUAAUCCUGCAUGCAGCCCUAAUUAAAUUUGGAACUGCUGAUUUCUGUUGCAUUAAUUGUAGGUGACAUAGUUUUUUUUUUUUUUUGUUGAGGCGUACAUAGUUAAUGUUUCAAGUUAAUGUGUUUGAUGAAUAUAAAUUUGUACAUUAAUGGAAACAGACCUUUCCAUUAGCAAACAGUAUCUUGAAAUCUUCGUUGACAUACUCUUCAAACACAGAAUCAUCUCCCUCCACAUCUAAUCCAAUAAUUCCUGCAUUAUUCACCUGCAUAAAAUCAUAAUUUUUUUAUUUUUUAUUUUAUUUUCCAGCCAAAAAACAAAAUCAAGAAUCAAGAAUUUCUUUCCAUUUGGUUGGAUUUUGGUACCAGAAUGUCAAGCUUUCCAAAUCUCGAUUUGAUGAACUCAAAAACAGCAGCAACGCUAGCAGGAUCGACAACAUCUAGUUGAUGAAAAACCACAUUUUUAUCGAAUUGUUUAAGCUUUUGUUGAGCUUCAAUGCCUCUCUUUUCAUCUCUCGAUGCUAAAAUCACAACCAUUCCUUUGGAUGCUAACUGCUUGCAGAUUUGGAAUCCGAUUCCUUUGUUUGCUCCCGUCACCAAAGCAUACCUAAACCAAGAAAAUAGCAAAUAAAUACAUAAAAAUAUGUAAAUUAAGGUGCUUAACUUGAACAUGUAUAUGUAUGUUUAUUUCCAUAUAUUGAACUAAAUCUCUAAUUAUUACCUCUGUGUUGCAUUUGCCAUUGUGUUGUGUUGCUUUUUUUUUUUUCCUGUAUGAAAGGAGACUUGUAAAAGAAAAUUUGUUGUUUCAAACACGUUUUGGUAUAGCUUUUAUAGAUAAGUUUGAUGUUGUGAUUUCGAGCUUAAUUAGCCAUAAAUUUAAUUCAUGAUAUUUGUAUCUUAUGCAUAAAUUCUUGGAGGAAAUAGUGUCACUGAUUGUGACUAUACAUUCGAAGAGUACUAUCACAAAUACAUUAUUGGACCUACACUUAUGUGAUGCACAUUGAUUCAUCGUACGUAACGUAAUGGGGAUAAAUAUGCAUCACAUGUUGGAGAUAAUUUAUUUUCGAGUCUAAAUUAAAUAAUUGGCGCUUGUCAGGUUGAAAUAUAUAUAAUCAGAAAGUGUGAGAUCAUGUCCUAAAAAAUGAAAUGUGAUAUAUUCUUUGUGAAACACGCCGACACAUACAAAAUUAUGGGACACUAAAUCACAUCUCUCUUCUUCGUUAUACAUAUACUCCAUUCAUUGUGUAAGCUUGGAAUCCAUUAUAAAGAAAUUAAGCUCCCAUUUUGUAAGAAACAAUAAGAGAUCUAUGUUGAAUGAUCAUCUCAUCUUAAAAUUUUAUGUAUUCCCCUCAACAAUGUUUUAAUAGGAAGUGUUUGAUUUGGUGGAUGAGAUAGAUAUGAUUGAUAGGAUUGGAGGGGUGAUCAAAUAAUCCACUCAAUUUUGCGAUGAUAAACAAUCACUCAUUUGAGUGAUUAGAUGUGUGCCGAGUAAUCAAUCACGAGCUCAAUCAUGCAAACCAAACACUUGAUUAAGGUGGAUUAUUUUAUUAAUCAUAUCUUAUCAAUCAAACCGAACGCCUCCUACAAAGACAAUGCUUCCUCUCUUAGGAAGAAAGAGCCCGACGGCCCUCCAUGGGCCAGCAACGCCAACUUCACCGGAGCUUCGGCACCUUCGACUUCAC
rnacentral:lncRNA from 1 species